rnacentral:rRNA from 1 species
GCAAACCUCAAGAUAAGGUUUCCCAUAGAGUUAAUCUAGUAAGAUCCCUGGAAGACUACCAGGUAGAUAGGCCAGAGGUGUAAGGACAGCAAUGUUUUUAGCUGACUGGUACUAAUAGAUCGAGGGUUUGAUCUAG